ACAAAAAAAGAAAUCUAAGCUCUUCUUGAAACCAUAGAGCAACUCAGAAACAUCCUUUUUUAUUCCUAUUAUAUCCUCUUGCAAAACCAAAAACAAAAAUGCUAAUGAAUCCCAAUAAGCCUUUGGUGUUUUGGAUGCUUUUACAAUCUAGAGAAGCUUUUAUGAAUAAACUGGUAAGUUUGUCAAUAUCUCUUUGUUUAAUUUUUCCGAUUCUUGAAGUCUAAAGCAUUUGGACAUAGAUUUGAUUGAAACUUUACUUGAAAACUGAUGUACAUCUAUAUAAUAUUUUGAGGAAAUCUUAGUAACUCAGUAAGUUGGUUGGUUAAUUAAACUUUCACCUUUUUAGUAACGAUUCAAUUCACUACUUUAUAAUCAUAUCCCAUUUUCCGUUCUCCUACCCAUAAUUUUGAAGAAAAAAACCUUUGAGAAAAUUAUUCUUUUUUAUAAAAAAAAAAAGACUUACAUGUCCAAAUAGUCCCUAAUAAGAAUUUCAAUUCCAACUCAAAAGCUUCAUUUCCUAAAUUUGUUUUUUCGGCAAGUGUCGUCUUGGUUCAUCAAAGAAAACAUGAUAAUGUUGUGCAAUGCUUUCUUACUGAAAACGGAUAAAGUUUAAUGCCGUGGGAAGCAAAGAUACUGAGACAAAUGUCCAAGAGUUACUUCAUAUGUGAACAAAACUGGCCACGAUUUGUGAUGCAUCACAAAUUUAAGUAAUGCAGCAUUUUUCUAUUUUUUAUCAUUUAAAAAUCAUCCUUAUGUAUGAAACCAUAAACAUAGAAAUGUUGUAGAAACAUUAUUGGUGAGAGUGAACUUUUUUAUGAGGAACUUAACAGCUCUAAAGAUGAUAUUGAACCUUCAGUAAGGAAAUCAAAGAGAGCUAGAAAAGGGGAC
rnacentral:lncRNA from 1 species